rnacentral:rRNA from 1 species
UACGUAGGUGACAAGCGUUGUCCGGAUUUACUGGGCGUAAAGGGCGGGCAGGCGGUUCGUCAAGUGGGGUGUGAAAGCUCCCAGCUUAAACUGGGAGAGGCCAUUCCAAACUGACGGACUGGAGGGCAGCAGAGGUAGGCGGAAUCCGGGUGGAGUGGUGAAAUGCGUAGAGAUCCGGAGGAACACCAGGAGGCGAAGGCGGCCUACUGGGCUGCACCUGA